rnacentral:rRNA from 1 species
ACUCCUGCGGGAGGCAGCAGUGGGGAAUAUUGGACAAUGGGCGCAAGCCUGAUCCAGCCAUGCCGCGUGAGUGAUGAAGGCCCUAGGGUUGUAAAGCUCUUUCACCGGUGAAGAUAAUGACGGUAACCGGAGAAGAAGCCCCGGCUAACUUCGUGCCAGCAGCCGCGGUAAUACGAAGGGGGCUAGCGUUGUUCGGAUUUACUGGGCGUAAAGCGCACGUAGGCGGACUAUUAAGUCAGGGGUGAAAUCCCGGGGCUCAACCCCGGAACUGCCUUUGAUACUGGUAGUCUUGAGUUCGAGAGAGGUGAGUGGAAUUCCGAGUGUAGAGGUGAAAUUCGUAGAUAUUCGGAGGAACACCAGUGGCGAAGGCGGCUCACUGGCUCGAUACUGACGCUGAGGUGCGAAAGCGUGGGGAGCAAACAGGAUUAGAUACCCCGGUAGUCCCA